rnacentral:rRNA from 1 species
GAGUUUGAUCCAUGGCUCAGGACGAACGCUGGCGGCGUGCCUAAUACAUGCAAGUCGAGCGAACAGAAGGGAGCUUGCUCCCGGAUGUUAGCGGCGGACGGGUGAGUAACACGUGGGUAACCUGCCUGUAAGACUGGGAUAACUCCGGGAAACCGGAGCUAAUACCGGAUAGUUCCUUGAACCGCAUGGUUCAAGGAUGAAAGACGGUUUCGGCUGUCACUUACAGAUGGACCCGCGGCGCAUUAGCUAGUUGGUGGGGUAAUGGCUCACCAAGGCGACGAUGCGUAGCCGACCUGAGAGGGUGAUCGGCCACACUGGGACUGAGACACGGCCCAGACUCCUACGGGAGGCAGCAGUAGGGAAUCUUCCGCAAUGGACGAAAGUCUGACGGAGCAACGCCGCGUGAGUGAUGAAGGUUUUCGGAUCGUAAAGCUCUGUUGUUAGGGAA